GAAUUCACUAGUGAUUCAGGCCUAACACAUGCAAGUCGAACGAACUCUGGUAUUGAUUGGUGCUUGCAUCAUGAUUUACAUUUGAGUGAGUGGCGAACUGGUGAGUAACACGUGGGAAACCUGCCCAGAAGCGGGGGAUAACACCUGGAAACAGAUGCUAAUACCGCAUAACAACUUGGACCGCAUGGUCCGAGCUUGAAAGAUGGCUUCGGCUAUCACUUUUGGAUGGUCCCGCGGCGUAUUAGCUAGAUGGUGGGGUAACGGCUCACCAUGGCAAUGAUACGUAGCCGACCUGAGAGGGUAAUCGGCCACAUUGGGACUGAGACACGGCCCAAACUCCUACGGGAGGCAGCAGUAGGGAAUCUUCCACAAUGGACGAAAGUCUGAUGGAAAAGGGCCGCGUGAGUGAAGAAGGGUUUCGGCUCGUAAAAAAAGGUUGUUAAAGAAGAACAUAUCUGAGAGUAACUGUUCAGGUAUUGACGGUAUAACCA
rnacentral:rRNA from 1 species